UACAGAGGACCCAAGCGUUGUUCGGAUUCACUGGGCGUAAAGGGUGCGUAGGUGGUGAGGUAAGUCGGAUGUGAAAUCUCGGAGCUCAACUCCGAAAUGGCAUUGGAAACUACCUCGCUCGAGGAUUGGAGGGGGGACUGGAAUACUUGGUGUAGCAGUGAAAUGCGUAGAUAUCAAGUGGAACACCAGUGGCGAAGGCGAGUCCCUGGACAAUUCCUGACACUGAGGCACGAAAGCUAGGGGAGCAAACAGG
rnacentral:rRNA from 1 species